GAUGAACGCUGGCGGCGUGCCUAACACAUGCAAGUCGAACGGGGCAGCAAUGCCUAGUGGCGGACGGGUGAGGAAUACGUAGGAAUAUGCCCUUAAGUGGGGGAUAACCAGGGGAAACCCUGACUAAUACCGCAUGAUCUCUUCGGAGCAAAGAGGGUGACCGCAAGGACUCUCGCUCCUGGAUGAGUCCACGUCUGAUUAGCUAGUUGGUAGGGUAAAGGCCUACCAAGGCGACGAUCAGUAACUGGUCUGAGAGGAUGAUCAGUCACACCGGAACUGAGACACGGUCCGGACUCCUACGGGAGGCAGCAGUGGGGAAUAUUGGACAAUGGGCGCAAGCCUGAUCCAGCAAUGCCGCGUGUGUGAAGAAGGCCUUCGGGUUGUAAAGCACUUUAGCCUGGAAAGAAAAAACUUUGGUUAACACCCAAAGUCUUGACGGUACCAGGAGAAUAAGCACCGGCUAACUCUGUGCCAGCAGCCGCAGUAAAAC
rnacentral:rRNA from 1 species